rnacentral:rRNA from 1 species
UACAGAGGUGGCAAGCGUUGUUCGGAUUUACUGGGCGUAAAGGGUGCGUAGGCGGUCCCGUGUGUCGGAUGUGAAAGCCCACGGAUCAUCCGUGGAACUGCAUUCGAAACUGCGGGGCUAGAGUGCCGGAGAGGAUGGCGGAAUUCUCGGUGUAGCGGUGAAAUGCGUUGAGAUCGAGAGGAACGCCGGUGGCGAAGGCGGCCAUCUGGACGGCAACUGACGCUGAGGCACGAAAGCUAGGGGAGCAAACAGG